rnacentral:rRNA from 1 species
UGGGGAAUAUUGCACAAUGGGCGCAAGCCUGAUGCAGCCAUGCCGCGUGUAUGAAGAAGGCCUUCGGGUUGUAAAGUACUUUCAGGCGGGAGGAAGGUGGUAAGGUUAAUAACCUUGGCAAUUGACGUUACCGACAGAAGAAGCACCGGCUAACUCCGUGCCAGCAGCCGCGGUAAUACGGAGGGUGCAAGCGUUAAUCGGAAUUACUGGGCGUAAAGCGCACGCAGGCGGUUGAUUGAGUCAGAUGUGAAAUCCCCGGGCUUAACCCGGGAAUUGCAUCUGAUACUGGUCAGCUAGAGUCUUGUAGAGGGGGGUAGAAUUCCAUGUGUAGCGGUGAAAUGCGUAGAGAUGUGGAGGAAUACCGGUGGCGAAGGCGGCCCCCUGGACGAAGACUGACGCUCAGGUGCGAAAGCGUGGGGAGCAAACAGG